rnacentral:tRNA from 1 species
CAGUGUGUAGCUUAGUCUGGCCUAAAGCCCCGGCCUUGGACGCCGGUAUCGCAGGUUCAAAUCCUGCCACGCUGACCA